GGGCAACUAGAGCGUCCGCCUGCUCGCGUACAUCCUGCCAGUGGUCUCCGCUCUGGUACCCUGUCCGAUCCAAAUUCCCCUUCUCCCUUUCUUUUUGAAUCCCCUCACUCAUGUUCGUCAAUCUGUUAGGGUUGGUCAUUCGCUCGAAGUCAGCUCGACAUAUCGCCUCCCCCAAUUUAUGUGGUCUUUCUAUUGGAUUUCUUAUGGAUUCCAUGUGUUGGUCGCUCAAGGAAUGUCCCCCAAAUUUUGUGGUCUUUCAAUUGGAUUUUCGAUUUUCCCAUAUUUUCAAUGGGCGAUGGCAAGAACUAUAGAAGAUUUGCCAAGGAUGUCUAAUAGCUGCAGGAAAAUUUUGAACUGCAUUUCUCCUAUAAGCAGCCUCCGCAGCCUACAGGCGCUAGGUGAGAGAGAAACCAAAAAUUCUGCAAGCAGAGGAUUUACAGAGAAAGUGACACAGUUUACUGAAAGUAGGUGAUGAGGUGAAAGCAUGUAAUUCUUUCACUCUACGCCAUAUUAGUUUCUCUAACUUUCUCUUUGUUUCUUUUGAUCCUGUUGCGUCUGUUGCUCUCCUGAUCUGCCUGCCUCCAUGUCUUAAUUCUACUUCUAUAUAGUUUUUUGCAUGCUACGUGUUUGAUGAAAUUCCUAGAGAUGUCCACGAAGGAGAUAAGGCAAAUAGAUCGUCUCCUUUCUUCCUACUCGAUCUUCGGCGGGGUCGAAUGCUUUCCUGGUCGAGGUUCAGUACAUCUGCCAGGCAUAGGGUUCUCAGCUCGAUUCUCUCUCUGUAUAAGCUAAGUGAUUAAACGAUGAGAGUCGCUCAAUAUCCUUGGCUGGCUCCUUCAUGAGGCUUCUAAUUGUACUUCCGUAGAGAAUAGCAUUGCUUAGUAAUUGAAUAAUAUUUUGCAGUACAAAUUUUUAGUGCACUCCUAAUGAUUAGUAUCUAUUACUUUUUCCCUUGAAUUUUAAGCUUAUUACAUACACUUUUUGUUACAUACAGGUUAAAUGCGGUAGGUUGUAUAUCUGGAAGGUAGAAAAUGCAUUAGUGGAACGAUUGAUGCUACCAAUAUAUCUGCUUUGAUUAGAAUGAGCUUUUCCCAAAUUUUAGGGGACCGGAAGCCUGCGGAUGUUGGGAUAAAUCAAGCUCAUGAAAGUAUGAAUGUAUAUGAGUAGUAUUUUCUGAAGUACCAUUUUUUUAUUGUCUCACUUAGCUUCGAUUUGUUAUACUCCCACCUUUAUUAUAAGGAAGACAGCGGCGUGGCUGCCACAGGCACCUGUGGCUACAACUGCUACACAUUCAGUUCUCUCUUAGUUUUGAUUUCCUCAUGAUCUUCUCCCAUUCAUUGUGGUUCAGGCGCUCCAAAUGUGAUGU